GACGUAGGUGGCGAGCGUUAUCCGGAUUUACUGGUCGUAAAGCGUGUGCAGGCGGCUUAUCAAGUGGUGUAUGAAAUAUCCAGGCUCAACCUGGAGGGGUUAUGCCAGACUGGUAGGCUAGAGUGCGAGAGAGGGGCGUGGAAUUCCGGGUGUAGUGGUGAAAUGCGUAGAGAUCCGGAGGAACCCCAGAGGCGAAGGCGGCGCCCUGGCUCGACACUGACGCUCAGACACGACAGCAUGGGGAGCGAACGGG
rnacentral:rRNA from 1 species